ncrna:unclassified sequences Twister-sister ribozyme sequence
GCAACCCGCAAGGCCGACGACACCCCGCCGCCGCUGGUGCAAGCCCAGCCGCCCCACACGGGGCGGGCGCUCAUGGGUACACA